UUUCUGUUUGUUAGUUUUCCUUCUAACAGACAGGACCCUCAGCUGCAGGUCUGUUGGAAUACCCUGCCGUGUGAGAUGUCAGUGUGCCCCUGCUAGGGGGUGCCUCCCAGUUAGGCUGCUCGGGGGUCAGGGGUCAGGGAACCACUUGAGGAGGCAGUCUGCCCGUUCUCAGAUCUCCAGCUGUGUGCUGGGAGAACCACUGCUGUCUUCAAAGCUGUCAGACAGGGACAUUUAAGUCUGCAGAGGUUACUGCUGUCUUUUUGUUUGUCUGUGCCCUGCCCCCAGAGGUGGAGCCUACAGAGGCAGGCAGGCCUCCUUGAGCUGUGGUGGGCUCCACCCAGUUGGAGCUUCCUGGCUGCUUUGUUUACCUUAGCAAGCCUGGGCAAUGGCGGGCGCCCCUCCCCCAGCCUCGCUGCCGCCUUGCAGUUUGAUCUCAGACUGCUGUGCUAGCAAUCAGCAAGACUCCGUGGGCGUAGGACCCUCCAAGCCAGGUGCGAUAUAAUGUCGUGGUGCGCCGUUUUUUAAGCUGGUUGGAAAAGCGCAGUAUUCGCGUGGGAGUGACCCGAUUUUCCAGUGAGAUGAACCCGGUACCUCAGAUUGAAAUGCAGAAAUCACCCGUCUUCUGCGUCGCUCACGCUGGGAGCUGUAGACCGGAGCUGUUCCUAUUCGGCCAUCUUGGCUCCUCCCUCAGUUCUGGAGACUGGGACAUCCAAGGUCAAUGUGCUGGCAGAUUCAAUGUCUGGAUUGGCAAACACAAAUCAUGUUCCAAGUUCUGCCUUCCACCUGAGUGAAAUACAUCACCGCUUUCCCUGCUCCCGCCGCCAUUAAAAUUGUGUUUGGCAUCUGACCACCAAGAUACAGAUAUUUCCUAGACUGUUUUGCAGCUAGGUACUUAGAAAUAUCAACACUGUUUGCACUAUAAUUUACUUUUUGAGCCUCUGACAUUUACCCAGCUGACUGUCUUUGGAGAACAAUCUCUUGUCUGAGAAGCACUCUAGAAUGGAAGCCUCUUUGAAGAAAGUGUGGGAGGGGCAAAUCUAGACCACAGGUGAAGAAAAUGGGAUACAACAACCAGGAGAGGAUGAAAAUAUGAGAUGAAAAAUAUG
rnacentral:lncRNA from 10 species